rnacentral:rRNA from 1 species
GAUGAACGCUGGCGGCGUGCCUAAUACAUGCAAGUCGAGCGAACAGACGAGGAGCUUGCUCCUCUGACGUUAGCGGCGGACGGGUGAGUAACACGUGGAUAACCUACCUAUAAGACUGGGAUAACUUCGGGAAACCGGAGCUAAUACCGGAUAAUAUAUUGAACCGCAUGGUUCAAUAGUGAAAGACGGUUUUGCUGUCACUUAUAGAUGGAUCCGCGCCGCAUUAGCUAGUUGGUAAGGUAACGGCUUACCAAGGCGACGAUGCGUAGCCCACCUGAGAGGGUGAUCGGCCACACUGGAACUGAGACACGGUCCAGACUCCUACGGGAGGCAGCAGUAGGGAAUCUUCCGCAAAGGGCGAAAGCCUGACGGAGCAACGCCGCGUGAGUGAUGAAGGUCUUCGGAUCGUAAAACUCUGUUAUUAGGGAAGAACAAAUGUGUAAGUAACUAUGCACGUCUUGACGGUACCUAAUCAGAAAGCCACGGCUAACUACGUG